UACGUAGGGUGCAAGCGUUAAUCGGAAUUACUGGGCGUAAAGCGUGCGCAGGCGGUUGUGCAAGACCGAUGUGAAAUCCCCGGGCUCAACCUGGGAAUGGCAUUGGAAACUGGCGAGCUAGAGUGUGGCAGAGGGGGGUGGAAUUCCGCGUGUAGCAGUGAAAUGCGUAGAGAUGCGGAGGAACACCGAUGGCGAAGGCAGCCCCCUGGGCUGACACUGACGCUCAGGCACGAAAGCGUGGGGAGCAAACAGG
rnacentral:rRNA from 1 species